UUUUACAACAAUCUUACAAAAUAGUUAUUAUAAUUCCUAUUUUACACAUAAAGAAACUGAAGCUGAGAGCAAUUAGAUCACUUUUUCAGGGACUUAAAGCUAGUGGUGGCAGAGCCAGCAUUGAAACACAGGUUUGUUUACUCCCAGAGCCAUGUUCUUGAUAAUUAUAUUGCUUUAACAAUUUUUAUGUAUUUUAAUUUACACUCUCUGCAAUUCAUACACAAGGGUUCUUGACAUGGUGACAGGACAGGACAGAUCAAGACAGAGGCUCUCCAAGGCAGUGAAAAGACCCUUCCUAUCUCCUCUGGCUUAACCUGGGUUUAUGCUCCUUUCCUGGCCCUGUUGGUAUAAUCGGCAACAUCUGUGUUGUUAGAGGGUGGAGAGCGCAUGGAUCAUCUUAGCUCAAAGGUAGGUUCUAACAGCAUAGAAGAUGGAGUAGAGAAAAAUAAAUAGUGUUUUUUUUUCUCUCUGCUACUUACUAGAGCCAUGCUAUCUAAUAUGGCAGACACUAACCACAUGUGACUUUUGAGCACUUGAAUGUGGUUAGUUCAAAUUAAGACGGACUGUAAAACAUACACCCCCUGCCCCCAGAC
rnacentral:lncRNA from 10 species